CAAAAAAAAAAAAAAAAAAGAAAUGAAGCGAUGAGGACGAAGGCCAAGACCCUUAUCUCCACAGAUCUCAGCAUUUCGUUUUCGUCGUUCUUCAAUGAUCUCUCUCUCUUAUCAUCUACGGACAGAUGAGCAAGCGUGGGUAUAGACCGUUGUCCUCCGUGUGUAAGGGGUUCAUCUCCAUCUUCUUCGUUUCCGGACAUCAACGCUGGUAUCUCUCUCACAGUCUCACUCUUACAACCAAGAAUGUUAGCUAUGAAUUUAUCAAAUUUGAGAAACAGGUUGUAGACAGGUUCUGGAGUAAAAAAAGCAUCAAAAAGCAAGAGAGGAUUCUCAGUAUUACCUUGGUGAGCUGUUCUAUUCUUCCUCCCCACCCAGAUGACUAUUGAUGCAGUUAUCUUCGUCAUCCAGUGAGAUAGGGGAACCUAUAUACAUGUCAAUAUUUUAAAGGAAGAAGUGAAGAAAUAUCGCAAUAUUUUUGAAGAAGAAAAGGUGUACUAUGUCAAGUCCUGGUGGUCACUACUACAACAGUUCUGUCACAGUCUACUGGCCUUGGGGAUUUUAGAAGUGGUGAUGUUGUUGUCAGUACCAUCUCUGAUAUGUUUAUGCAUCAAGAGGAUGGGGAUUGUAAAUGAUCAGCUUGUAGUAAGGGUGAAAAAAGUGGCAGAAAUGAGCAAUAAGGUAUAAACUUACUGUUAGAGUGGUGGAUAAAACUGGAGAUCUCUCUUCCUACUAUGAGAUAGGGAGUGUGCUUAAUUGGAAGGUGUUCCAGCAGGCUUACUAUUUGAUAAGUAUCAAAAGAGUAGUGCCCGCACUUCACCUUCUUUCUCGCGUUCUUCUCUGGCAUUUUCGUCGCCAGAGCUUCGUCGUCUCCAACGCUUCAUCGUCUCCCCUGCUGAAACGAAGAAAAGCUCCAUUGCUACAAAGAUUCGUAAGUCCACAGCAAAAGAUGACUUCAAACAAAGAUACUAAGCAACCAAAGAGAAAGUAUCAAAGAGAGCUAGAGCAAUAGAUAAUGAACGAACAUCACAAGAGUCCAAGAGCAACAGUAGCAUCUCGAGAAAAACAACCUUAACACUAGAAUGUCGCCUAUCGAAUUCCUAUGGUUGAUGGAGAAACUAACAGAUGAACAAAGAAAAGCGAUAGAAGAUAUUGGAUUUGGAUCACUACUACAGUAAAAAUUGUCAUGCUGGGAUACAGAAUUGUGUGCAUACACAGAUUUGAUAUAUAUGUGCAGGCCAUUUUUCUAAGAUCCUUGAGAGCAAAGUAUGCAUCAUGCACAAUAAUGCUGCCAAUCAAUUAUGAGAAAGAGGAAGUGCUGAAGAAAGCAAGAGAAAUAUAUAUUUCAAAAUGACAUGGAAUGUUCAGUAGAUUUGAGUAGGUUGCUAUAGCGGGUGGAAAAUUAAUUUUUGGUUUUGGUUCCUUGAUUUUUUUAACAAGGUUGACAUGUGCAUUAUGCAGUGACAAAAUGAUGUAAAUUUGCCAAAGUUUGAUAGGUUACUAUGCUUUAAAUUCAAAGCUUAUCAGUUGCAAUA